CACACACACACACACACACACACACUGGUCAGACACUACAUUUUUGUGCCUCCUGUUUGGGCCUUUCACUGUAGUCUGACAAGUUUCUCUCAUACACAUCAGAUUCACACACAGACACAGACACGCACACACAGUUCUCCAGAACCACCCCAUUCCUUCUCUUUUGCGCACUUCUGAGGCUAAUAGCACAUUCCUACGGGCAUGACUAAGAGGGCGCCGGCAGUAAAGAAAAGUGAUGAUGAAACGCUUUCAGGAAUCCUCCCGAAUUGCUUCAUCAGAUCAUGGCUUUGUGAGCGUUUGAUGUGGCAGAUCGCCAGUCCUCACACACCAGAAGAGCCCCGCCCACCGACCUUCACACACCCACGUUCCUAACCCUGCCGUUGCCUGGAAACGCUGUGUUGCUAUGCCGACAGAACACAUACGCGGAAGUGUUUUUUUUUUUGUGUGUGUGUGUGUCUAAUUGUCAGAGAGCGGGAAACGUUCCCAGCCUAGCCUUUUGAUCUACAGCAUGGUCCUGACAGGCUGAGCUGUGCAAAUGUGUGUGUGUGUGUAAUAACGUGCAUGCUCUUUACACAUCACUUAUCAAUCUGCACUACUCCACUGCAACGCAACGCAAUGCAUCAAUAAGCCCAUGAAACAAACACAACUGCGACACAUCACGCUGUCAGAUUAGGAUUUAGGCAACUGCUUUAUUUAGCUGGAAACUGGAGCGUGUGCAAAGAAGUCAGUCAGUGCGCCAAUACUUCUUCUUUCUUCUUUCUCUAUAAACUUCCUGCUUGAAUUUCCUUUAAAUGUUUGAUUGUAGACUUCAGUCGAAAACCAGUGCUGGGGAUGUUUCCAGUUUUGUGAGUGGUUUCUGGUAGCUUGGAUGCUGAUAAACAUAUAAAGCAAACAAACAAACAAAUAAAUCUCAUUAUAAGACAAUUAUAUAACAAAAAUAAAGCUUACUUGCCAUAUAUCUAGGCAUUUUUACCCAUUGUAAGCAAGUGUUUGAAAUAGUUCUGUCCCGUUAGCCAGAACUUUGUUUCUUUUUCUUGCUAAUUCAGACAGGGAAGCACAUUCUGUUAUUGCUAACCUUUGGUCAAAAUGAGCUAAACAGACUCCAGUUUAUUACAUGAUCUUAACUAGCUGACGAAUUUCUUAGUAAGUUAGUUUUCUAUGAAGAUUUGCUAGGUAUUUCCAUACACUGGCUAGACAACAAGCUAACUGCUGAAUAUAUUACAUAUGCUUAGCUAGCUGAUAACAUUCACAAUGUGUUAGUAUGUUAGUUUUUGAUGUGAAUGUUGGUUAGUUAUUGCUAAACAUUAGCUAGCCAACCAACAUUAGCUUACCAGCCAAGUAGCUGUAGUUCAAGUCUUGUUUUUUUUUGCUAAUUCCCAGUCAAGCAGCUUCACAGUUCUUUUUACAAAAAGGUAGGAAAAUCCCAACUCAUCUCUUAGUUUAAGAGCCCACAAUAAAUUGCAUGAUCUUAGCUAGCUAAUGUGUUUGUUAGUUAUCUCUCAUAGUGAACGUUUGCUAGUUAUUUUUAAACAUUAGCUGCAAGCUCGCUACGGACAUAUAUGACAGCAGCUGUAGAUCAGGUCAUGUUGUUUGCUAACAGUAUUAUUAAUAGUUAUUUCUAGACGUGAGCUAAAUAACAAGCUAAGCUACCAGAUGGCCUUAGCUUCUAGUCUUGAUUGCUAAUUCAGCCCAUAGAAAUCUUCACAGCUGAUUCUUCCCUUCACUUGCUUCUAGCUUUACAGAAUUUCUACACAUAUUCUGAGGUAGAAAAUAAUAAUUUUUGUUAUUAUGUUAUUGAAAUAUUACUUUGUGUGAAACUGUGUAAGUUAAGGGCAUAUGCUAGCUUCCAUUUACAUUAGCUAACAACAAGCUAGCUGCUGAAAGCUGUCAAUGGUUAUAGAUUGGAGAGUGUAGAAGAGGCGUGUACAUGUCUGUUACUGAGGUAAUGGAUGUAUAGUUUAGUCAGGUCUUUCGAGUGCUUGGCACUGGUUAGUGAACUCUUACACAAGCAAAACAAAGCAUUUCUAUUUUAAACCCUUCUUUUGUGGGGAGUCAUAUCAGACGCUGCAGAAGUAGCGCCACUGAUGCGUUCACCAGCAGUGUCUCGGUUUCAUUUUUGAGAGCUGCACGUUAACACGUUAAAGAUGUCCUCUCUAAGAGUCCUCUUUAGACACUUUGCGUUUUGUGAGGACUUUACAAAACUUGCUUUACUUAUUAUUUAUCACUUAUUACCCCCAACACACACAAACACACAGACAUACACACACACACACACACACACCCUCCCCCAUCCUCCUCCUCCUCUCCUUUCCAUCACAUUGGAAAAACAAACCCGGUUACAGUCAGACGCUUCAAAGCCCUGCAUGUUGCAGAUAAAGACAUCAAAGGGUUUCUUUCAGAUGCAAAUUGGUGCGCUGCGCUCACGGGUUUGAAAGUAAACAUGUUUCAGCAUCAUCACAAUUAUUCAUCAGCGCAGCACUUUCACAAUGAGACAGAGGAUUAUGGGAGGAGAGGGAACAGCACUCGCUGGCUGAAGUGGCUGGAUCCGGUUUGCAGUAUGGAGAUGAUCCUGGAAAGUCCCAUUGACACUUAUGCAAAAAUACUUUAGAAUACAUUAUACAACAGAGCUGAUGAAUUCUCAAAUCUGAUUGGUCGAGAAAGCGUGCUUGUUAAUAUGCCUGUUCUAACAUAACAGCGAUUGUAUGGACUAUAGAUAUAUUAGAUAUAGCUUUGCUCACUGAUAUUCCACAAUAUUAAAUGCUAAUUUCAUUUGAAGUCAUGAAUAAAUAAAAUACUGAUAUAAGAGGAAUAAAAUGGUUUGCUGUAAUUGGAAAAUAAUAAUAAUGACAGCACCUCGUCUCUGUUUAUUUUCCCUUAACAGCAUGCAGUGUUGUGUUUUAGUUCUUAGACAAUUGAUACAUCAUUUAUCAUUACUUAUCUGUUUAGGUAAGUCAAGCUGACAUUAUGCUUCAUUACAGAAAGUGAGACAAGAUUUAAAGCCUACUGCUACAUUAAGCCAGCGAAUAGCAGCAGUGUCUGAAUCAGCGUACAGCAUUGGCAUUUCUCUCAAGCUCAAGUUGGCACAUGGUGGAGCUGCUUAGGCAGCCUUUUUUCUGCAAUGUGCUGGAGACCGUGGCAUCUGUCGCCCGUCUCGUAUGACAGGGUGGAGGACUCGUGGCCGGCCAGGCUCUCUGUAACUCGGCCCGGCUGCAGGGGUAUCAACUGGUUUGCCCUUUUAGCGUCCUCACGUUGGCUCUGUUUCCCUUGUUACCAUCACUAGCAGCUGACGCUCCGGAGCUGGGGCGGGUGUGUAGGAAGGGUGCUGGUUGGGUGUAUUUUAAGAUUUAAGGUUUGUAUUUUUAGGACAGCUGUAGCCUACGACAUUCAUCACAUUCCCAGGUGGAUGAAAAUAAACAAACAAAGCCCGGGUUACUGAAGGAAGCAGCUGGUGAGGAUGGGUAGACUCUUAAAGGCACACACUGGCAGGCCCCUAAGUGUUGAUGACUCGUCAUAAAAAUGGCUGCUCCUUCUCC